CCCCACCCUACAACUUCUUCCCCUCACGCCGCCUUUCCCCGGGAAGCCAAGAUGGCCGCCGGUGCCGACGCCCCGGCCAGGCCAGGCCCAGGCCCCCAGCGCUCCCCCUUCCGCUCCGAGCGGGAGGGGCUAGCGAGCAUGCGCAAUAAGAUAAGAGUGCAGUGGUGCAGUCAUGGCUCACUGCAGCGUCUGCCUCCUGGACUCAAAGAAUCCUCCUACCUCAGCCUCCCAAGUAGCUAGGACCACAGAGUUGUGCUCUCCUGCAGCGUUUUGCGGACGGCUGGCUAUCUUACCCAGAAUCAAUCACACUGGGACACUGAAAAAAAAAAAAAAGGAAAAAAGAGCGAGGGAGUAAUUCUAGCCUGUUUUUACAAGAACACAGUGGCUAUAGACAGUGCCAGUGUGAAGAUGACUCAGCAAACGUGGAGAACCAAAGAUUCUAGGGCAGCACCAAAACUGGGAAAGCAAUUACAGCAGAAGUUGCCUUCCCCAUGGUAGCUUAGCAACUUCGUGUCUCUCCAAGGCAGAGAGGAAAAUCAAGUCUAACAGGCCUUCCCGAAGGCUAGGUGUGAAAUACCAGAAGCCAUCUUUGUUUCUGGCGAUGUCACUAAAUAAGUAUUUGUUGAUAUAAAGUAUUACACAUCUGUUCUCCCACAUUUCAGCUAAAUUGCCAAAAGUUAACCCUUUCUGGAGAUCCAGAAUGGAGCAAUAUACCUAGCUCUCAUUCAUUAUUUCCCUUGCUGAUAUUCUUGCAUAGCUUUUAGUUUAUGCAUUUGUCCCAAAUAAACCUAGAAAAAGCCACUUGUCGUAGGACAAGAUGAGCUGAUGAUUUGAAUCACUCCCCCACUGAGGAAGAAACCAUCUGUGGAAAAGACUGUAUAAGGUACUUCCUGGUUGAACGGUAGGGCUCUGGAGUCAGAAGUCUUGAAUUUGAAUCCCAGCCCUGAAAUGUAUCAGCUGUGUGCCCUUAGGCCAGAUAUACUUUUAUUGCACAACAUGUAUUACGUACAAGAAUAUCACAAGAUUUGGAAAUGUUAGUCCUAGAAGAGUUUGACACAACGCAAUGAUAAGACAGUAUGAAAAAUGGAGCUAUGAAUAAAAAAGAAUCCAUAAGUCCCC
rnacentral:lncRNA from 1 species